rnacentral:tRNA from 1 species
GACGCUGUGGCUGAGUGGUAAAGUGCUUGGCUUCUGAACCAGGGACCCCGGGCUCAAAUCCUGCUGAAGUCU